CAGCUCCUAGCAGCCUUUCAUGCAGAGUACCUCCUAGAGCAUCUCCGACAUCUGAAGGAGAUGGAGUUCGUCCACUUGGUCCAGGGGAACUUGACGGUGUCAGAAUAUGCUCAUAAUUUCUUGGAGUUUGGCCAAUACUCCCCUAAGACGUUGUUCAUUGUUGGAUGAGGGCAGGAAGGCUAGGAGGUUCUAGUGGGGCCUUCGCCCAGA
rnacentral:lncRNA from 1 species